rnacentral:misc_RNA from 1 species
GAUGAAGAACGUAGCGAAAUGCGAUAAGUAAUGUGAAUUGCAGAAUUCAGUGAAUCAUCGAAUCUUUGAACGCACAUUGCGCCCGCUGGUAUUCCGGCGGGCAUGCCUGUUCGAGCGUCAUUUCAACCCUCAAGCUCUCCGGAGUUUGGUGUUGGGGCCCCUGGGGCUUUUCGACCUCAGGGCCCUCAAGUCCAUCGGCGGGACCGCCAGGACACUGAGCGCAGUAGUAUUAUUUCGCUCGGUAGGAUCUUCCACGGCGGGUCGAUCUGGCCGCUAAACCCCCCAAUUCUCACCAAAGGUUGACCUCGGAUCAGGUAGGAAUACCCGCUGAACUUAAGCAUAUCAAUAAGCGGAGGA